rnacentral:lncRNA from 1 species
UCCAAACUCACUGAGUCAUGCUGGACCGGAUGUCUGCUUCGACCUAUUCUUGACCGCAGCACAUCCGUUUUCCUUACAGUAUGUAGUACGCAUUCUACCUUUUCCUACAAUGAAUCCACCAGCAGAAAUUCCUGUACACAUCUUAUCAACAAAGAAUUUGAACCUCAAAGAGUGGCUCAAAGAGGUCAGGAGGCACCUUCAACACUUUUAUUGGAGAUCUCCUUGUCUAGAUCAUCAGAUUCUCACUGUGUUACCUAGGCUGCAGUGCAGUGGUGCGAUCUCAACUCACUGCAACCUCUACCUCCUGGGUUCAAGCAAUUCUCCUGCCUCAGCCUCCCAAGUAGCUGGGAUUACAGGUG